rnacentral:rRNA from 1 species
UGGGGAAUAUUGCACAAUGGGCGCAAGCCUGAUGCAGCCAUGCCGCGUGUAUGAAGAAGGCCUUCGGGUUGUAAAGUACUUUCAGCGGGGAGGAAGGGAGUAAAGUUAAUACCUUUGCUCAUUGACGUUACCCGCAGAAGAAGCACCGGCUAACUCCGUGCCAGCAGCCGCGGUAAUACGGAGGGUGCAAGCGUUAAUCGGAAUUACUGGGCGUAAAGCGUACGCAGGCGGUUUGUUAAGUCAGAUGUGAAAUCCCCGGGCUCAACCUGGGAACUGCAUCUGAUACUGGCAAGCUUGAGUCUCGUAGAGGGGGGUAGAAUUCCAGGUGUAGCGGUGAAAUGCGUAGAGAUCUGGAGGAAUACCGGUGGCGAAGGCGGCCCCCUGGACGAAGACUGACGCUCAGGUGCGAAAGCGUGGGGAGCAAACAGG